rnacentral:tRNA from 1 species
GCGGGCAUAGCUUAAUGGUAAAGUCCGAGCCUUCCAAGCUCGCUAUGAGGGUUCGAUUCCCUCUGCCCGCUCCA